rnacentral:rRNA from 1 species
UACAGAGGGGGCAAGCGUUGUUCGGAAUUACUGGGCGUAAAGGGCGCGUAGGCGGCCUUCUAAGUCAUGCGUGAAAUCCCCGGGCUCAACCCGGGAACUGCGUCUGAUACUGGAAGGCUUGAAUCCGGGAGAGGGAUGCGGAAUUCCAGGUGUAGCGGUGAAAUGCGUAGAUAUCUGGAGGAACACCGGUGGCGAAGGCGGCAUCCUGGACCGGCAUUGACGCUGAGGCGCGAAAGCCAGGGGAGCAAACGGG